ACUCAUAGGGAAAUGUGUGGUAACAAUGCGUCCAAUGUUUACUUGAUAACUUUUGAUGUCAUUUCAACAGUUCACGUUCAAUGUCCUUUAAAUACUUUCAGUAUAAGGUUACUUAUGAAGAGGAACGUGAAACAAUCGUUCAUUUUGUAUCUGUGAACAAACAUUACACAUUAUGAAGAGUGAACGGUGGCUAGGCCUAAUUGCAAUCAUCUGCUCCACCGGAAGCCAUGACAGCUGGCCAUCCUACGCUGGGCCCUCCUGCAAUUGUUGUGUUGGCAUCAGCCUAGAUACCCAUUCUUGUCAUCAACCAACUAGACUCACUUUACCAGUCAUCCUUAGUCUUUGGUUGUUUAUUUUGGCAACUUAAGCAUACUACUUGUGACUCUUUGUCAAGUGAAUCUUCUAGUCUUGUAGUCUCACUGGUUAGGCUAAUCUCUCCCACCAGUGGCUUUGAUCCUCAAAGUUCUCCUCAAGCGAGAGAUGUUGGAGCUACAGUGAAAAGGCCAAAGUAAUGGGCACCCUACAUGAAGACAAUUCCAAAGCUUGGCUGUAGGAGGAAAGCAGCUGUUUAACAGUUUUCAGAGUUGAGAACGAAUCCUUUUAGGGAGGCCCUACUAGUCUAGAAAUGUGAUUCACCAAGAGCACAGCUUGAUUUCAAGACAUUAGUCAUUCCUCAGCUGUGCCAGAUACUCUCUUAACAGGUGAGAUGUUAUUUUGUCUAACAGUAUCCUCUCAUGAUUUGAGACCAGUUUAAAUUGCAUUUUGAUCCUUGCACAUUAUCAAUCUUAAUAGAAACACACAAUGAAGAAACCCUUUUGCUAAUUUAGUGAGUAAAGAGCAAAAUCAGCUUAUUUACAUAAAUUUCAUUAAAGGCAACAGCUUUCAAAUGGUCUCUACCUACAAACAUUGCAUUUAUAAUACAAGUUAGUGAAAUCUUGUUUCAGAUGCAAAUGUUGAUUUCUUAAAAGUUCUCAAUUACUUUGAACUUCCAUUUAUAAACUAGCAAAAUAACUUUUCUGGCCAAUUUGAAAAAAUUAACUAUUGCUUGUUUAUGUGUAACAUGAAUAUAUUUUGUCACUGCAUCAAGUUUUUAUAUCCGUUGUAAAUUAAUAUUAAGAACAAUUGGAGAACUCAAUCUGUACAGUAUACAAUUAAAAUACUACAUCUUUUCUUACACUAAACAAAAAAGAGACAUCAGCAGCCUUAUUUUGGAUCAACUCUCAUUCACCUUUCAGAUAACAAUGUACUAUAAAUAACCACAAUGAAAAAAGUUCUUGCUAUUUCGUCUUCAUUUGCAAUUGUUAACUUAUACUAACAUACAAAAUGAGCGAUAC